rnacentral:piRNA from 1 species
GAAAACAUUUUGUUGAGGGAGUAGA